rnacentral:rRNA from 1 species
GAUGAACGCUGGCGGUAUGCUUAACACAUGCAAGUCGAACGGACUCUUCGGAGUUAGUGGCGGACGGGUGAGUAACGCGGGAGAAUCUGGCUUUGGGUUCGGGACAACCACUGGAAACGGUGGCUAAUACCGGAUGUGCCGAGAGGUAAAAGAGAAAUUGCCUGAAGAUGAGCUCGCGUCUGAUUAGCUAGUUGGUGAGGUAAAGGCUCACCAAGGCAGCGAUCAGUAGCUGGUCUGAGAGGAUGACCAGCCACACUGGGACUGAGACACGGCCCAGACUCCUACGGGAGGCAGCAGUGGGGAAUUUUCCGCAAUGGGCGAAAGCCUGACGGAGCAAUACCGCGUGAGGGAAGAAGGCUCUUGGGGUGUAAACCUCUUUUCUUAGGGAAGAACAAAAUGACGGUACCUAAGGAAUCAGCAUCGGCUAACUCCGUG